GUAUUUCCCAUCCCUUUGAAAAUGGGCGGGGCUCUGCAGUUGACACAACAAUAGAAUGCCGCGCAAGUUAUGCCACAUGACUUCCAAGGAUAGGCCCUCAAGGGCAAUCUGGCCUUUCCCUUUCUUCCUCUCUCUAGGAUACUCAUCCUUGGAACUCAAAUUCGCACACACGGAGAGACUCCCGCACAGAGAAGAAAUGAGCACCCUAACUGACAGCCAGCGUGGACCAUCCAUCAGCAAUGUGACUGAGGGAGUGAGCCUUCAGAUGACUCUUCCAGCACCCAGUCUCCCAGUUUUCCUGCUAAGGCUUCAGACAUCAUGCAGUAGAGAGAAAAAGCCAUUCGUGCUCUGCCCUGUAUAAUUUCGGACCGAGACUAUAAGUGGUUGUCUUAGACCACAUGUUUUAGGGUAAUUUACUAUGCAGCCAUAGUGACUGGAACAUACUUCCAAGUAAAUCUAGCAGAAAAUACAAUAAUAUUUUUGUUUAUUUUCUACUCAUAUGUAAGAGAUGAGCCUUUUCUCUCAUAAAGAAAUAGUUUCUAUAAUGUUAUGGUAGAGGAAAGGGGCAAGAUAAUCCAAACACACUGAAGGGAGCUCUAAGUACAGGGAAGAACAUAUACAUAUUAUAGCCACAGGUUUUUUUUUUUCUUCAAACUCAUCUAUUAUUUUGAGUAUGAUAAUACUAUGUCUGUGUAUGACAGAAAAAUUUAAACUUUGUCAUCCUCUGGGAGAAUGUUCAGGUAAAUUGAAGGUAUUUCGGAAAUUCAGACUAACAAAUGCGUGGCUAAUUAUAGGCAUACAUUUCAAGGGAAAGAUUUUCAGGUAAAUACAAAUUUGUUUUAUUUUAUUUUAUUAAAUUAUCC
rnacentral:lncRNA from 1 species